GGACCAGAAAGCGACGGGAGGUUGUUAUGGCAACAGCCACAAAUUGGAUCAGUACUCUCGGCGAGGAGCAGCAGCACGAGUGCUGCAAGGAGCAGAAAUGCCAUCCCCAUCUAUGUUUUCUCCUGCUGCGAUGUGCACCCCGGCCAGCAGAGCACUGCGUUCCUGUAGCCCCCAUCCCGUGCAGGGAUCCCUGCGUGCCGCACCUCCGCUUCCAAAACAGCCCCCCAGCUGGAGGCGAAAGCUGCUCCUUUGAAGCGGCCAUCCACACCAAGUGGCCCAGCUGAUUAUUUU
rnacentral:lncRNA from 1 species